UAUGGGGUCGCCUCAGGAAGCCGCAGCCAUGUGCGUGGCAGCGUGGGUGUCAUCAUGCAGGAAACAGGUGCCAACGAGCUUUCAUUGUUUCCACGCCAGCGACAAGAAACGCACAACAACCAAACGUGUCAUGAUGAGGUGGCUCUUGAGGGUUUGCAGGUGGCGGAAGCGGGUGCCACAGGUGUGACAGGGGUAAGGCUUCUCUCCAGUGUGAAUCAACACAUGCGCUCUGAGGUGAGCAACCUG